rnacentral:rRNA from 1 species
UGUAUAAUGGGUCAGCGACUUAUAUUCUGUAGCAAGGUUAACCGAAUAGGGGAGCCGAAGGGAAACCGAGUCUUAACUGGGCGUUAAGUUGCAGGGUAUAGACCCGAAACCCGGUGAUCUAGCCAUGGGCAGGUUGAAGGUUGGGUAACACUAACUGGAGGACCGAACCGACUAAUGUUGAAAAAUUAGCGGAUGACUUGUGGCUGGGGGUGAAAGGCCAAUCAAACCGGGAGAUAGCUGGUUCUCCCCGAAAGCUAUUUAGGUAGCGCCUCGUGAAUUCAUCUCCGGGGGUAGAGCACUGUUUCGGCAAGGGGGUCAUCCCGACUUACCAACCCGAUGCAAACUGCGAAUACCGGAGAAUGUUAUCACGGGAGACACACGGCGGGUGCUAACGUCCGUCGUGAAGAGGGAAACAACCCAGACCGCCAGCUAAGGUCCCAAAGUCAUGGUUAAGUGGGAAACGAUGUGGGAAGGCCCAGACAGCCAGGAUGUUGGCUUAGAAGCAGCCAUCAUUUAAAGAAAGCGUAAUAGCUCACUGGUCGAGUCGGCCUGCGCGGAAGAUGUAACGGGGCUAAACCAUGCACCGAAGCUGCGGCAGCGACACUAUGUGUUGUUGGGUAGGGGAGCGUUCUGUAAGCCUGUGAAGGUGUACUGUGAGGUAUGCUGGAGGUAUCAGAAGUGCGAAUGCUGACAUAAGUAACGAUAAAGCGGGUGAAAAGCCCGCUC